rnacentral:misc_RNA from 1 species
UCGUAACAAGGUCUCCGUUGGUGAACCAGCGGAGGGAUCAUUACCGAGUGUAAAAACUCCCAAACCAUUGUGAACCUACCACUGUUGCUUCGGCGGCCUCGCCCCGGGCGCGUUCGCGCGGCCCGGACCCAGGCGUCCGCCGGAGGCUCCAAACUCUUGUCUUUUAGUGUAUUUCUGAGUGGCAUAAGCAAAUAAAUCAAAACUUUCAGCAACGGAUCUCUUGGUUCUGGCAUCGAUGAAGAACGCAGCAAAAUGCGAUAAGUAAUGUGAAUUGCAGAAUUCAGUGAAUCAUCGAAUCUUUGAACGCACAUUGCGCCCGCCAGUAUUCUGGCGGGCAUGCCUGUCUGAGCGUCAUUUCAACCCUCAGGACCCGUUCGCGGGACCUGGCGUUGGGGAUCAGCCUGCCCCUGGCGGCGGCUGGCCCUGAAAUCCAGUGGCGGUUCCCUCGCGAACUCCUCCGUGCAGUAAUUAAACCUCUCGCGGCAGGAUAGCGGUUGAACCACGCCGUUAAACCCCCCACUUCUCAAGGUUGACCUCAGAUCAGGUAGGAAUACCCGCUGAACUUAAGCAUAUCA